GCACAUUUCUGGCCCUGUCUGCCAUAAAGAAUUAUUGCAUAUGGCAGAAUCAUAGGCUAGCGCACCUCAUGCAUUUACAGCCCUUUAUGAGGAGCGUUGGAUUAGACCACCCUCCAGGAUGACAUCAGGUGAGGCAAGCUGCAUAAAUGCAGAUGAAUGUAAGUAAUUUAUUUGUUAUUGUUGUGUUUUUUUAGGUGCAGGUGGG